rnacentral:rRNA from 1 species
CACGUAGGGGGCAAGCGUUGUCCGGAUUUAUUGGGCGUAAAGAGCUCGUAGGUGGGUCGGUAAGUCGGGUGUUAAACCCCCAGGCUCAACCUGGGGACGCCACUCGAUACUGCUGUGACUAGAGUCCGGUAGGGGAGCGUGGAAUUCCUGGUGUAGCGGUGAAAUGCGCAGAUAUCAGGAAGAACACCCGUGGCUAAGGCGGCUCUCUAGUACGGUACUGACGCUGAGACGCGAAAGCGUGGGGAGCGAACAGG